rnacentral:rRNA from 1 species
CUACGGGCUGCUGCAGUGGGGAAUAUUGCACAAUGGAGGAAACUCUGAUGCAGCAACGCCGCGUGGAGGAUGACACUUUUCGGAGCGUAAACUCCUUUUAUAUAGGAAGAAGAUGACGGUACUAUAUGAAUAAGCGCCGGCUAACUCCGUGCCAGCAGCCGCGGUAAUACGGAGGGCGCAAGCGUUACUCGGAAUCACUGGGCGUAAAGAGCGUGUAGGCGGAUUAAAAAGUCAGAAGUGAAAUCCUAUAGCUUAACUAUAGAACUGCUUCUGAAACUCUUAAUCUAGAAUAUGGGAGAGGUAGAUGGAAUUUCUGGUGUAGGGGUAAAAUCCGUAGAGAUCAGAAGGAAUACCGAUUGCGAAGGCGAUCUACUAGAACAUUAUUGACGCUGAGACGCGGAAGCGUGGGGAGCAAACAGGAUUAGAUACCCUCGUAGUC